rnacentral:rRNA from 1 species
GAUGAACGCUGGCGGCGUGCCUAAUACAUGCAAGUCGAACGCUGGAAAUCUAGCUUGCUAGAUUGAAGGAGUGGCGAACGGGUGAGUAAUACAUAAGCAACCUACCCACGAAGACUGGGAUAAUCUCUGGAAACGGGGACUAAUACCGGAUAGGUAAUCGGAAGGCAUCUUCUGAUUAUUAAAGGUUAAAAACACUGGUGGAUGGGCUUAUGGCGCAUUAGUUAGUUGGUGAGGUAACGGCCCACCAAGACGAUGAUGCGUAGCCGGCCUGAGAGGGUGAACGGCCACAUUGGGACUGAGACACGGCCCAGACUCCUACGGGAGGCAGCAGUAGGGAAUUUUCGGCAAUGGGGGAAACCCUGACCGAGCAACGCCGCGUGAGUGAUGACGGCCUUCGGGUUGUAAAGCUCUGUUGUAAGGGAAGAACGGUAGAUAGAGAAUAUCUAAAUGACGGUACCUGACCAGAAAGCCACGGCUAACUACGUG